UACGUAGGGGGCAAGCGUUGUCCGGAUUUAUUGGGCGUAAAGAGCGUGUAGGCGGCCGUACAGGUCAGCUGUGAAAACUCGAGGCUCAACCUCGAGACGUCGGUUGAAACCGUACGGCUAGAGUCCGGAAGAGGAGAGUGGAAUUCCCGGUGUAGCGGUGAAAUGCGUAGAUAUCAGGAGGAACACCUGUGGCGAAAGCGGCGCACUGGACCACAACUGACGCUGAGGCGCGAAAGCUAGGGGAGCAAACAGG
rnacentral:rRNA from 1 species